CGCUAUUUUGGAGGCAUUGCCUGCCCAGUGACAACUGUUUAACGGCCGCGGUAUCCUGACCGUGCAAAGGUAGCAUAAUCAUUUGUUCUCUAAAUAAGGACUUGUAUGAAUGGCCGCACGAGGGUUUUACUGUCUCUUACUUCCAAUCAGUGAAAUUGACCUUCCCGUGAAGAGGCGGGAAUGCACAAAUAAGACGAGAAGACCCUAUGGAGCUUUAACUAACCAACCCAAAGAGAAUAGAUUUAACCAUUAAGGAAUAACAACAAUCUCCAUGAGUUGGUAGUUUCGGUUGGGGUGACCUCGGAGAAUAAAAAAUCCUCCGAGCGAUUUUAAAGACUAGACCCACAAGUCAAAUCACUCUAUCGCUCAUUGAUCCAAAAACUUGAUCAACGGAACAAGUUACCCUAGGGAUAACAGCGCAAUCCUAUUCAAGAGUCCAUAUCGACAAUAGGGUUUACGACCUCGAUGUUGGAUCAGGACAUCCUGAUGGUGCAACCGCUAUCAAAGGUUCGUUUGUUCAACGAUUAAAGUCCUACGUGAUCUGAGUUCAGACCGGA
rnacentral:rRNA from 1 species